rnacentral:rRNA from 1 species
AUUGAACGCUGGCGGCAGGCCUAACACAUGCAAGUCGAGCGGAUGAAGAGAGCUUGCUCUCUGAUUUAGCGGCGGACGGGUGAGUAAUGCCUAGGAAUCUGCCUGGUAGUGGGGGAUAACGUCCGGAAACGGGCGCUAAUACCGCAUACGUCCUACGGGAGAAAGCAGGGGACCUUCGGGCCUUGCGCUAUCAGAUGAGCCUAGGUCGGAUUAGCUAGUUGGUGAGGUAAUGGCCCACCAAGGCUACGAUCCGUAACUGGGCUGAGAGGAUGAUCAGUCAAACUGGAACUGAGACACGGUCCAGACUCCUACGGGAGGCAGCAGUGGGGAAUAUUGGACAAUGGGCGAAAGCCUGAUCCAGCCAUGCCGCGUGUGUGAAGAAGGUCUUCGGAUUGUAAAGCACUUUAAGUUGGGAGGAAGGGCAGUAAGUUAAUACCUUGCUGUUUUGACGUUACCGACAGAAUAAGCACCGGCUAACUUCGUGCCAGCAGCCGCCGUAAGAC